GGGAAAAUCAGAAUGGAACGCUACAAUAACCGAUGGAUCGGGUGUUUGAAUAUAUAUAAACGAAAACACAACGCAAGAAGCAGUAGUAGUUCUUACUGAGUACAAUGAAGGCUGCACUGUUGCUUGUUGCUGUUUACGUGGUGCAAUCAAAGGACAAACGUACGACAGAGCUAUUAGACUGUCCACGGAAUUGAAAUCCAAGUUGCCGACUCAGCCUGAAGGGGGUGACUAGUCUACGAGUGAUUCGAGACCAGGUGGCUGGCCUCCUGACUGAAAAGGUCUACCGUUUUCAGAGGAACAGCACGAUGGAAGAGCGUCAGAACAUACAUCUUUUGUUCGCAGCAAAAACAGGCGGAAUCAAGUCAUCCUGUUUUAUAGCAUUUUCUGAUUACUUCACGACAUGCAAUAAAUUAGAUCCGCUUUUCAUUUAAGCGAGAAACUGACUGCAAAAGUCCGCAGCUCGUGGUCGUGCGGUAGCGUUCUGGCUUCCCACUCCCGGGUUCCCGGGUUCGAUUCCCGGCGGGGUCAGAGAUUUUCUCUGCCUCGUGAUGACUGGGUGUUGUGUGCUGUCCUUAGGUUUAAGUAGUUCUAGGGGACUGAUGACCAUAGAUGUUAAGUCCCAUAGUGCUCAGAGCCAAUUCUGACUGCAAAAAUUAGUAUUUGAAAACAUUGGUUUUGGCUUUAUUUAUCUUUUUGUUGUUCUUGUAAUAGUUUUACUCUUACGUAUUAAAAGUGUGGAUUCAUGUCGGCAA